rnacentral:rRNA from 1 species
UACGUAGGGUGCGAGCGUUAAUCGGAAUUACUGGGCGUAAAGGGUGCGCAGGCGGUUAUAUAAGACAGAUGUGAAAUCCCCGGGCUCAACCUGGGAACUGCGUUUGUGACUGUAUGACUAGAGUACGGUAGAGAGGGGUGGAAUUCCUGGUGUAGCAGUGAAAUGCGUAGAUAUCAGGAGGAACAUCGAUGGCGAAGGCAGCCCCUUGGACCUGUACUGAUGCUCAUGCACGAAAGCGUGGGGAGCAAACAGG